AUAUGAAUUUAUGUUUUUUGUUUAGGCUUCUUUGUUGGAUUCUUGGAUCACAAAAACCAUCCUUUACGACUGCUUCUUUCUCGUUUCAUUCACUAUUAAUUUAAAGUCAAUCUAUAUGAUAUUUCCUGUAAAACAAUAUUAGCCGUACACCAAUUGACCUUAACCUUAUCUUCAGAGGUCCUGUAUAUGGAAAAGAUAUUUCUUUGGCUCGCGAGUAGUUAGAAAUUACUCAUUAUCCAAUUUAUUCAUUCUGUAAAAACUACUUGUUGAACUAAUCUCUUUGCUGCCUUCUGCCACAGAUUGAUGCGAACUCCGAUUUUGUAAAUAAGAAAAGGACAACAGUUGCACUCUUGCCAAAUGGCACUGUGGUUGAAUCUUUCCUUGAGGAUGAGAAAACGUCAGGCUCUGGCACAAGCCCCCUGUCCUAGUACGUUGUCACACUAUGCCAGGGAGCCAAGGAAAGGAGCAGUCAUUUGGUUGAAUCCAGUGUUCUCAUUGGAGAUCGAUCAUUCAAAUUUGGGAGCAAGAUAUUAAGUGACGAUGAUGAGUAAUGGAAGGCAAUGCCUGUGCAUUGCUCUCUGAUCACUAUUCCAAGCAACAGAAAAAUGUCAGCAAGAAGAGUACUACUAAACACACAGAAGAGAUGGCUAUCGUUGAUGAUUUGGUCCUCAGCUCUGAUGAAGAUGUUCCAUUGAAUGACGGUAUUGAGGGAGACUACGGCGAACCUGAAGAAGACUAGCAGGAACGGAGCAGCAAGAAACGGAAACAUGGCGCAGAUAUGCACAAAGGAAAGAAGAAGAGGACGCACGGUAGGUAACACGUGGUUUAGUGUACACCUUGAUAGAGUUUGAAUGAUUUGGGAGAUGAUUAGAUUAAAUCUGAAUUAGUGGAUAUGGAAAAACAUUCAAAUAUGAAAAUGUGCUGUGUUUUUGAGACA